rnacentral:rRNA from 1 species
GCCCUUGAAUAAAUCAAAGGUGAUACCUGCCCAGUGAUAAUUAAUUACAAAUUUUAAAAAAAUUUAAAUAUUAUUAAACGGAUGCGGUAACUCUGACUGUAAUAAAGUAGCAUAAUUAGUUGUCACUUAAUUGGUGGAGAGAAUGAAUGGUAAUACGAGCAUUUCAUUGUCUUAAUUAAAAGUUUUUAAAAUUGAAAUAAUAGUGAAGAUGCUAUUAAAAAUCGUAAGACGAAAAGACCCUAUAGAGCUUUACUAUAACUUUAUAAUAAUUAUAAAUAAGAUUUUUAAUAUUAUUUUUAAGGUUGGUAGUUUAGUUGGGGCGACUGUCUUUUAUAAUUAACAAAGAUAAGCAAAUAUUAAUAUAAUUAAUUUAUUGUAUAAUUUAUAAAUUUAACAAUUAUGAAAAUAGGCUAUAAUGACCCGUUAGAUUAAUUAAAAAUAUUUAACGAUUAAUAAAUAAAAGCUACCUUAGGGAUAACAGGAUAAUUUUGUUUUAGAGUUCUUAUCAAUUACAAAGUUUGUCACCUCUAUGUUGAAUUAAGAUACCCCAAUAAUGCAGAAGUUAUUAAAGGUAGGUCUGUUCGACCUUUAAAAUCUU